CGAGCGAUGAAAUCCCUUCGGGGAUGGAUUAGCGGCGGACGGGUGAGUAACACGUGGGUAACCUGCCUCAAAGAGGGGGAUAGCCUCCCGAAAGGGAGAUUAAUACCGCAUAACAUUAGUUUUUCGCAUGAAAAACUAAUUAAAGGAGCAAUCCACUUUGAGAUGGACCCGCGGCGCAUUAGCUAGUUGGUGAGGUAAUGGCCCACCAAGGCAAUGAUCGGUAGCCGGCCUGAGAGGGCACACGGCCACACUGGCACUGAGACACGGGCCAGACUCCUACGGGAGGCAGCAGUGGGGAAUCUUGCACAAUGGGGGAAACCCUGAUGCAGCGACGCCGCGUGAGCGAUGAAGCCCUUCGGGGUGUAAAGCUCUUUCGGCAGGAACGAUGAUGACGGUACCUGCAGAAGAAGCUGCGGCUAACUACGUGCCAGCAGCCGCGGUAAUACGUAGGCAGCAAGCGUUGUUCGGAGUUACUGGGCGUAAAGAGUGCGUAGGCGGUCCUUUAAGUUCGGUGUGAAAUCUCCCGGCUCAACUGGGAGGGUGCGCCGGAAACUGGGGGGCUCGAGUAUGGGAGAGGAAAGCGGAAUUCCUGGUGUAGCGGUGAAAUGCGUAGAUAUCAG
rnacentral:rRNA from 1 species